rnacentral:rRNA from 1 species
AGUGAACGCUGGCGGUAGGCCUAACACAUGCAAGUCGAACGGCAGCACAGUAAGAGCUUGCUCUUACGUGCGGCGAGUGGCGGACGGGUGCGGAAUACUCCGGAUUCUACUUUUUCGUGGGGGAUAACGUAGGGAAACUUACGCUAAUACCGCAUACGACCUACGGGUGAAAGCACGGGUUCGUCGGACCUUGUGCUAUUGAAUGAGCCUAUUUCGGUUUAGCUAGUUGGCGGGGUAAAGGCCCACCAAGGCGACGAUCCGUAUCUGGUCUGAGAGGAUGAUCCGACAGACUGGCAGUGAGACACGGUAGAGACUCCUACGGGAGGACACAGUGGGGAAUAUUAGAGAAUGGGCGCAUGCCUGAUCCAGCCAUACGGCGUGGGUGAAGAAGGCCUUCGGGUUGUUGAGCGAUUUUGUUGGGAAAGAAAAGCAGCACGUUAAUACACGACUAUUCUGACGGUACCCAAAGAAUAAGCACCGGCUAACUUCGUG